GUUGAAUAUGCGCUGAAUUUUCCGCAGGGAAAUCGGGGGAACCAAACUCGGCUGAAAGGCCGACGGGGUGAAUCGGAAGCAGGCCGUAAAGGCUGUAACCGUAGGGCUUUCCACAGUCCGAAUCCGCCAGCUAACCUCGUAAGCAAAGGUGGGAUAAUGA
rnacentral:sRNA from 2 species